AUCCACGACGAAGGGGAAGAUGUAGAAAUGAUGAAUGCUCAAAGCGCGCCUUUUGAAAACCAGAGAUCGGCUUCUUCAUCUCCUCCAUCUUCAAACUUCCAACUGCUACACCCUCUUCCCCUCCCCAUCACAACUUCUCCCGCCCGCUUCGUCUCCCUCGUCCACUCCUCUCGCUCCCUUCUCCACUUCAAGCAAAUCCAUGCCCAUCUCCUCCGCCUCCACCUUCUCUCCGGCUCCUCGCCGGCCGCUGCGGCCAUCAUCGCCGCACCCCCUCCUCUCCGUUGCAUCCCUUACAUCCUCUCCCUCUUCCACCACCUCCCUUCCCCUCUCCCUUCUCCUCAUCUCUUCAACGCCCUCAUCCGCGCUCUCUCCGACUCCUCCCUUCACUCCGCCGCUCUAUCAUACCUCACCCUCAUGCUCAGCUCCGGCCUUCAACCCGGCCGUCUCUCUCUCCCCUUCGCUCUCCGUUCCGCCGCCGCCCUUCGUUCCUCCGAAUCCGCCGCCACCCUCCACUCCGCCGCUGCAAAAUCCUGUCUUGAUCUCGACCCAUUCGUCCGCACCUCCCUCGCCGACGCAUACGGUAAACUCGGUUCUCAUCAACUUGCCCUCAAGGUGUUCGAUGAAACGCCACAAUGGCACCUUGCCUCCAAUAUCCUCAUAUGGAAUGUUGCCAUCACCGUCUGCUGCCGCUCUGGCCAUAUCGAUAAAGCACGCAAUCUGUUUGCUCAAAUGCCUGAGAGAAACCUGGCUUCCUGGAAUAGCAUGAUUAAUGGCUUCAUGAAGGCGGGCGACCUGGAAUCCGCAGUCAAUCUGUUUGAGAAAAUGCCCGAGCAAAACGUGGUUUCCUGGACCACAAUGUUAUCGGGCUUCUCUCAAAAUGACGACAAUGAGAGCGCUUUAGCCAUGUUCGAAACCAUGUUGGAAUCCGGCAUGAAACCAAACAACUUCACCGUAUCGGCCGCGCUAUCUUCUUGCGCGAAGCUGGGCGCAUUGAAUAUCGGAUUUCGUAUCCACGAUUACUUGAAGACGAAUGGAUUCCUGGAAGAUGGACCGAUCGGCACUGCGCUUGUCGACAUGUAUUCCAAAUGCGGAAAAGUUGAGCUCGCCAGCCAUGUCUUCAAUAGGAUGAAGAAGAGAGAUGUCGAAACUUGGACCGCCAUGAUCAUGGGAUGGGCCGUUCAUGGAUGCUGGAGCGAAGCAGUUCGAUGUUUCGAGGAUAUGAACUGUUCCUGCAUCGAGCCUGAUGAAGGAGCUUUCCUCGCCAUUCUGAUGGCGUGUUCGCACGCCGGUAAGAUCGAUAAAGGUCUCGACUUUUUCGAUAGCAUGAAGUCCAGUUAUCAGAUCGAACCAGGCGUAAAACAUUAUACGUGUAUCGUGGAUAUGUAUGGCAGAGCUGGGAUGGUUAACGAGGCGCUCGAGUUCCUGAACUCGAUGCCUAUUGAACCAGACUAUGUUCUUUGGGGAGCACUCUUGUCUGCAAGUCGGGCGAACAAGAAUGUCGAGAUUGCCGAAUUGGCCGCGGAGAAACUGUUAAAAAUUAAACCUUUACAUGCGGGAAGCCAAGUUUUUGUGUCUAACAUGUAUGCCGGCGCCGGAAUGUGGGAUUCUGUUGAGAAAGUGAGAUCUGGUAUGAAGGAGAAGAGCGUAAGUAAGGUGCCGGGAUGGAGCUACAUUGAGGUGAAGGGGAAAAGAUGUCAUUUUUAUGCCGGCGAUCAGUCUCAUUCCUCAUGGAGUGAAAUUUUUACCAAGUUGGAAGAGUUGGUAGAUCGAGCGAAGAAGGAGGGGUAUGAGCCGGACAUGGAAUGGGUGCUUCAUGACAUUGAGGAAGAAGACAAAAGGGGUUCACUGGGAUGCCACAGUGAGAAGCUUGCACUUGCCUUUGGGCUGAUGAAACUGGGGGAGGAAGAAGGGAUUAGGAUAGUGAAGAAUCUCAGAGUCUGUGGGGACUGUCAUUCUUUGAUGAAAUUUACGAGUCGGAUUUAUGGGAAGGAGAUUAUGCUUCGAGAUAAUAAGCGUUUUCAUCGAUUUAGAGUGGGCGAGUGUUCAUGUGGGGAUUACUGGUAAUCUGAAUACUGAUGCCGCUUCACAAAACAUGCUUUUUAAAGAGUUGAGUUCACAAGGAGCAGCGGGUGCAGUUGUAAGUAGAUCAAUUUCCAGGUGCUUGUGGGCAUGUUAGACAUUGAAGAUUCUUUCAAGUAAAUUUUUAGUUGUACGUCGGAAAAUGAAUUUUUCAAGCUAUCAAGGAAAUCAACAUGUAAAGUGGGUCUUCUGAGCCUAUUGAAUUGGGUCUUCUUAUCAUGAACCUGGAGCCUGCUCUUCUUUUAACUGAUCAUAUUCAUUGACUGCAUCAAUCGAAGCAGUGACCUUAAGAACUUUCUGUCAAGAGAACUCAUCAAGUUCCUUCGUCGAGCUCACUUGAACUCAUCAAGUUCCUUCGUCGAGCUCGCCCAAACUCAUCAAGAUCCUCUGCCGAGCUAACACAUACUUGCCAAGCCAGUUCGCAGAGCUCGUCUGCACUUCUCAAGCUUCAUCAACGAGAUGUAUUUAUGUGCAAUUUCAGAGCGUUUAAGAACGCAUUAAAGAAGCAUCGGAGCAAACUCAAAAGAAGCAUCUCAAUUUCCUGUUGUGUGGCAUGGCUUUCACCACUUUAAGAACCUUGAUGCUAUAUUUGCAGGCAGCAGGGGCCAGCUUCGGCUCUCACUCAGGUCCAGCCGAGAGAAUAGAAUAGUGGUGCCACUUAUAUGGCGCAUAGCUGUUUGAAGCUGGCAUAAUUACACCACUUAGUGGCAUAUAUACAUCGACUCUCACCUAGGUCCAACUGAGAAGAGGAAAUCCUAUCGUCGCUUUUGCAGAAACCUGACACCACUUUCAAGUCUUAAUUUGGCGAUAUUACAAAACAAUGAACACCCUUGUGCCGCCUUGAUGGAACCCCAUGCCGAUAAAGAAGUUGUGCUGGUUACCUCUUGUGUGGCAAUCCAUGGACAUGUAUGGAGUAUUCAGGGGGGAUAAGUAAUGCUUACUGGUGUCCCUCAUGUUCUUUGUCGGUGAAAGGGUGAAAGGGUGAAAGAGUGAAAGAGUGAAACUGUGUAAGGGAGAGAGUUGGAGAGAUUGUGAGGGUGACUCUGAAUUUGCAUGGACAAUUUGGGAGAAUUGUCUGGUAGUCUUAGUGCUCAUUAAUGAACUACGAAGUGGAAUGAAAAACGAACUUGCAAAUCAAAGGUGUAAUCCUUUCCUAGAUUUUCUUUCUAAA